rnacentral:tRNA from 1 species
UGCUCGGGUAGCUCAGUUGGUAGAGCACUUGUCCGUGAAAGGCAAAGGUCCCGAGUUCGAGUCUCGGUCCGGCAC